rnacentral:rRNA from 1 species
UACGGGGGGGGCUAGCGUUAUUCGGAAUUAUUGGGCGUAAAGGGCGCGUAGGCGGCUUGACAAGUCAAAGGUGAAAUCCCUCGGCUCAACUGAGGAACUGCCUUUGAAACUGUCUGGCUUGAGGCCGGGAGGGGGUAGCGGAAUUCCCAGUGUAGCGGUGAAAUGCGUAGAUAUUGGGAGGAACACCAGUGGCGAAGGCGGCUACCUGGACCGGUUCUGACGCUGAUGCGCGAAAGCGUGGGUAGCAAACAGG